GUGCUCACUUUGGCAGUACAUAUACUAAAAUUUGGAACGAUACAGAGAUUAGCAUGGCCCCUGCACAAGGAUGACAUGCAAAUUCAUGAAGCGUUUCAUAUUUUU